CGCAGCCUCCGGACAGAUCAUCCCGGUCAGUCUACCUUAAAGAUGGAACUUCAUGGAAAUGAAGGGGUGGAGAGGAGUUGUAUGAAACCAGACAUCUUCUGAAUUCUGCAGAAAAUGCUACGGCCAGAUUCACCGUACAGAGUCUGAUAAAUGCCAGAGGUAGGUAGCCCCAGAGGGACAGCAUCACCAUUAUUCCUUUUGAGUGGCACUGGAUGAAAACAG
rnacentral:lncRNA from 1 species